GAUGAACGCUAGCGGCAGGCCUAAUACAUGCAAGUCAAACGGGUAGCAAUACCAGUGGCGUACGGGUGCGUAACGCGUAUGCAACCUACCUUUCACAGGGGGACAACAGCGGGAAACUGCUGCUAAUACUCCGUAUUACUUUGAUGCGGCAUCGUGUUGAAGUGAAAGAAGCAAUUUGGUGAGAGAUGGGCAUGCGUUCGAUUAGCUAGUUGGUGCGGGUAACGGCCCACCAAGGCGACGAUCGAUAGGAGCUCUGAGAGGAGAAUCCCCCACACUGGCACUGAGAUACGGGCCAGACUCCUACGGGAGGCAGCAGUAGGGAAUAUUGGGCAAUGGAGGGAACUCUGACCCAGCCAUGCCGCGUGCAGGAAGAAGGCCCUCUGGGUUGUAAACUGCUUUUGAUAGGGAAGAAAGAGGUUAUGCGUAACCAGUUGACGGUACCUAUCGAAUAAGCACCGGCUAACUACGUGCCAGCCGCCGCCGUAACAC
rnacentral:rRNA from 1 species